rnacentral:rRNA from 1 species
UACGGAGGGUGCGAGCGUUGUCCGGAAUCAUUGGGCGUAAAGGGCGCGUAGGUGGCCCGGUCAGUCUUUGGUGAAAGCGCGGGGCUCAACCCUGCGUCGGCCAGGGAUACUGCCGCGGCUCGAGCACUGUAGAGGCAGGCGGAAUUCCAGGUGUAGCGGUGAAAUGCGUAGAUAUCUGGAGGAACACCGGUGGCGAAGGCGGCAUCCUGGACCAUGACUGACGCUGAGGAGCGAAAGCCAGGGGAGCAAACGGG